rnacentral:rRNA from 1 species
GAUGAACGCUGGCGGCGUGCCUAAUACAUGCAAGUCGAGCGAACAGAUGAGGAGCUUGUUCCUCUGACAUUAGCGGCGGACGGGUGAGUAACACGUGGAUAACCUACCUAUAAGACUGGGAUAACUUCGGGAAACCGGAGCUAAUACCGGAUAAUAUAUUUAACCGCAAGGUUCAAUAGUGAAAGACGGUAUUGCUGUCCCUUAAAGAUAGCUCCGCGCCGCAUUAGCAAGUUGGUAAGGUAACGGCUUACCAAGGCAACGAUGCGUAGCCGACCUGAGAGGGUGAUCGGCCACACUGGAACUGGGACACGGUCCAGACUCCUACGGGAGGCAGCAGUAGGGAAUCUUCCGCAAUGGGCGAAAUCCUGACGGAGCAACGCCGCGUGAGUGAUGAAGGUCUUCGGAUCGUAAAACUCUGUUAUUAGGGAAGAACAAAUGUGUAAGUAACUAUGCACGUCUUGACGGUACCUAAUCAGAAAGCCACGGCUAACUACGUG